rnacentral:rRNA from 1 species
AGGGAAUCUUCGGCAAUGGACGGAAGUCUGACCGAGCAACGCCGCGUGAGUGAGGAAGGUUUUCGGAUCGUAAAGCUCUGUUGCCAGGGAAGAAGGGUGAGGAGAGUAACUGCUCUUUACUUGACGGUACCUGAGAAGAAAGCCCCGGCUAACUACGUGCCAGCAGCCGCGGUAAUACGUAGGGGGCAAGCGUUGUCCGGAAUUAUUGGGCGUAAAGCGCGCGCAGGCGGUACAUUAAGUCUGGUGUUUAAGCCCAGGGCUCAACCUUGGGACGCACUGGAAACUGGUGAACUAGAGUGCAGAAGAGGAAAGUGGAAUUCCACGUGUAGCGGUGAAAUGCGUAGAGAUGUGGAGGAACACCAGUGGCGAAGGCGACUUUCUGGUCUGUAACUGACGCUGAGGCGCGAAAGCGUGGGGAGCAAAC